rnacentral:rRNA from 1 species
CCCUUAGAUGUCCUGGGCCACACGCGUGCUACACUGACGCCUACAGCGAGUACUUCCCAGCCCCGAGAGGUGGCUGGUAAUCAGCAAUAGGCGUCGUGAUGGGGAUAGAUCUUUGGAAUUAUGGAUCUUGAACGAGGAAUGCCUAGUAAGCGCAGGUCAUUAGCCUGCGCUGAUUAAGUCCCUGCCCUUUGUACACACCGCCCGUCGCUCCUACCGAUUUCGAGUGGUCCGGUGAAUCUUUCGGACUGCGCGCGGCCUCGUGCCGUGUCGCGGAAAGUCAGGUAAACCUUAUCACUUAGAGGAAGGAGAAGUCGUAACA